rnacentral:rRNA from 1 species
GACGAACCGUGCGAACGUUGUUCGGAAUCACUGGGCUUAAAGGGUGCGUAGGAGGGCAGGUAAGUCAGUGGUGAAAUCUCCGAGCUUAACUUGGAACUGCCGUUGAUACUAUCUGUCUUGAAUAUUGUGGAGGUGAGCGGAAUAUGUCAUGUAGCGGUGAAAUGCUUAGAUAUGACAUAGAACACCAAUUGCGAAGGCAGCUCGCUACACAUAUAUUGACUCUGAGGCACGAAAGCGUGGGGAUCAAACAGG